rnacentral:misc_RNA from 1 species
UCCGGUUUGUCACCGGCAGUCUGGCGUGAGUCCCCAACCCAAUGCUGGCAACACGCCACGGGGGUUGCGCUCGUUGCGGGACUUAACCCAACAUCUCACGACACGAGCUGACGACAGCCAUGCAGCAUCUGUGUGGCACCCUCGAAGGUCACACGUUUCCGUGCGCUUGCAGCCGCAUGUCAAGCCCAGGUAAGGUUCUUCGCGUUGCAUCGAAUUAAGCCACAUACUCCACCGCUUGUGCAGGCCCCCGUCAAUUUCUUUGAGUUUUAAUCUUGCGGCCGUACUCCCCAGGCGGGGCACUUAAUGCGUUAGCGACGGCACCGGGAGGGUCGCUCCCCCCGACGCCUAGUGCCCAUCGUUUACGGCGUGGACUAC